rnacentral:lncRNA from 10 species
UUUUGAUAGAUGAAUUUCUCAUAUCAUCAUCACUAAGACGUAGUUCUUAAUAUAUUCAACAAUAAAGGUUUUUGAAGUUAAAUAAAUUUCUACCUAGGAAUGAGGUAUCGCUUUGAAGCACACAAUCCCUAUUGCUAAAUUAACCAUGGAAGAUGAGGCCCUGCACGAGAGUUCAUAGAAGGCGGCUGUGAUUCUGGAGCAUCUGUGUGCACGGGGAAGGCACCACGUAUCUCUGGGAAACCCUUCCCCUCCUUUUUAAAAGCAUUGGAAAAAAAUGAUGCUUGGCCCUUUAAUAACUAAAAGCCAGGCCCUGGCAGAGUUUGGUUGUGAAAUAAUAGAAGGGGAAAGUUUGAAAAAGAAACAUGAACUGAUGCAGAGUGGCUUUUCCCCAGCUGCAGCCUUCAAAGGCCAGGAAUUUGGCAGCCGGAAUGCCUGUGGAUUAGAGAUCUCGCCACUGGCAAAGGCCAUUUCCAGGAAUAGGUCUGCCCAGGGUGGCCACAAUUUUCCUCUGAUCUGGCAAAAUCUAAGCCAUAGGAUAUGAAGAAAUUCCUCGAUUCUGAAAAGCAAUGUCAGAGAUCCUUUAUAUGAGUACGAAGCAUUCAAGCAGUGGCUUAAAAAUAAGAGGAAGCGAUAGGACAGCUGCUUGUCUGUCUGAAGCCGGACACCGGGCACUGUGGGGCCCCAGGGCAGCUUGGUGGGGCUGCAUCUGCCAGGAGUCCCCCAGCUCCUCAGGGAUGAGGAGGUGCUCCUGCGUGGGGUCCCCUCCACACGCCUGCCGCAGCACCCCUGAAUCAACGUGGGAGGGCCACAGUCUACACUGUGACAUGUCUCUGUGCACCAAGGCAACACCUCCCAGGCUCAUCUCAGAGGGCUUCAGAGCAACAUGACAACACAAAUUACACAAACCUCCUCAAAAUAGAGAAUCAGCACGUGCCCGUUUCACACACUUCUGACCAUCAAACAAAAAGUAUGACGCAGUCAUCUGCUAACACAGAAACGCUUAUAUAUCAAGCAAUGACCGCCCGUGUUUGUUACUUAGGUGUGUAGUAUUUUGUUCAAGAAUAAUGGUAUUUUUAAACUCUUCACUUGUUAGUCAUGUUUUAAAAUUUGACAAAAUCCCUCACUCUUUUUCUAUAUCCAUAAAUUAAGCUUUCUUAUAUAUGUGAUUUUCCGUUUAACAGGGACACCCAGAUCAGCUUUGUCACAGCUGCUGCUCUGUGAAUAUUUUGGAUUCGAUGAAUGAAUUGUUCUUAAGUAAUAAUGAAUGAGUAUGUUUGCUUUUCUAUCCUUUUUCUCCAGGCCAGUAGAGCCUGUUGUAAAGCUGUAUGUAAACAGUACAUAGCGAUAACUUCUCUUGUUCUAGUUCCCAGUAUAAAGCAUCCCCUCCCUGGACUGUUGCUGGAAGUCCUGAAAGCCAUUUUAUAUGUGCUUGUGGGUGAUCCCUGGGGCCACUCCUGAGUCCUCUCCUGUCCCCGCUGAAGCCACCAGUGCAGCCGGCCUCUGCCUGCUGCAAUGCUCCUACCUCUGUAGGCAGAAGUCAUGCUCAGGUGCCAAUAUGUCAGAAGGGAGUGACAUAUCCAUGUGAGAACCAAGGCUUCUAUGCCACCGGGGUUUGCCACAAGUGUCAGCACUGGAUAGAAGCAGAACCCUGAUAAAAACUAAAUUCAAAAUGUUCCAAAAUUUAAAUUAAAUACCAAUCACUGAGUCAGGAUAGGUAGUCAAGGAAGUCGCCGUGUCCUUGGGUGGUCCACAGUGGUGGUGGACAUUGGUGGACAGUGGUGUACGGUGUACGUGGUGACUGUAAAAUCAACACAGCAAGCCUCAGCAUUGACAUUGUCACUGAGCUCCCUCAAGCAAAGCUACCUUCAGUAGGGAAUUUCCCCUGCAGAGAGCAUGUGCACUUUGAUUUUACCGUCCUCAAACUGACCCUUUGCUCUUUAUAAUCAUAAAAAGCAAACCAUGGGUGGAGAUACAAGACCCUGAGACAUGUGACGUGUGAGCAAGCACGGACAACUACCAUGCGUGCAUCCAGAGGAGCACCCAGAACAUGCCCCAAGCAGCGCCUCCUCCCACCCCCUCAUGGGUAAUCGUGGAAGACUCCCACAGAGGGAGCCUCCCUCCUGCUGCUCUCUGCUGUCUCACCUUGGAGAGCACCCACCCUGAAUCCUCUCUCUCCCAAGCUGUCCUGUCUUAUUCUGCACCUAACUGUAAAAAUAUUAUUUUUCCUUUGCAAAAAAUUACUUCACGCUGCGUCUCCUUUGCUGUGUGUCUCUUGCUUAAAUCCUUUUAAACUAAGACCAGACCCAAGGUCUCACAACUUCCAUCACUAUCAUCACUUUCAAGCAAAAAUAAUACAGCAGCCUCCUCUGUUCCAGUGUGGGUGAAUCGUGUAAGAAGAUCUGAUGUGUGAAUGCUCUGUGGAUGGGGGGGGACCAAUGAUCUGGGCUCAUUCAAGAACAUACCACACCACGUGGGUGUCCACGGACUGCCCUGCUCAUUCCGCGUGGCAAAGUGUUUGGUGCCACUAGUCAUCAUGCUGUAGUCACUACCAACACCCCCUCUUCCGUGCUGGAGGUGUUGGCGUUAUUUGGGGAGUCCUGGUGACUCCCCUAAGGUCAUGUAGCACCGGAAGUGCAGCCAGAUGACUCUGACGCAGGAGCCCCUCACCACUGCGUCCCAAGGGGCUUCACAUCAGCCACUGGUUUCAAGACCGCAGUUCAGAUUCUCCCUUUGCCACAAUGGGUGGACAAAAACUAUGGAGAUUGAUUUGUGAUUGUCAGGCUUUUGGGCCCUGAGUCUUCCAAGUUUUCUUUUUGCCAAUUAUCAUGCUCUAGUAAAGCCACACAAUUUGUUCAAAAGCACAUUUUCUAGUCUGGGGAAUUUGGAGAUCUAUGUGAUAUGGAAUUGCUCUAAGUCAAGGAUAACCAGGGACUCAGUAGAGGACUAUAAAAAGGAGAAGAAAACCUUACACUGAAUAAAAAGAGUAACAGAAAAUACAAUCACCCUGCGACCAGAUGUCAAGCACUCUCGAAAGCAGAGCUCACGGUGCCCGGCGGCUCCAGUGUGCACGUCUCUGUCCUGGGGAGCCGCCAUUAUUCUCUGGAUGGCUCCUCAUGGCUGGCAAACAUGGUGUUUCCCACUCUCCUCUGGUUCUGUCAUGGGGUCUACCACACUGGGGUGUCUCCCCAAGUCACCACUCUUGGAGGGCCGGGCUUCGUGCAGUGGUUAGAUGCAAAGGUCCCGUGGGCUCAUCCUGCUUCCAUCUGCCCAGACUUAGCAGUCCUGUGCUCUCAGGCAGGGCCUUCACCUCUGAAGCCCCCUCUUCCUGUUUGUAAUAGAAAAUCCUUGUCACUAAGUCAUUACAUAAUCAGGUUCAUGUGAACAUUAAUGGGCUGUUGCAUGAGAAACGCUUACGAUGUUGCCUAAACAUUUGCUAGUGAAAGAGGGGGCAGUCCCCUCAGCACUAAAACAACACUGUGCCUCCCAGGACACCCAUUCCACAACUGACAAACACAACCCUGCACCAACUGGGGUAGGGAGUGGAAAGACACAAGUGGCUUAGGGAGCUGGGGCUCAGUUCUCCGGCAGGACUCGUGCUUCCCCUUAGAUCACACAGAUGUAAACCUGGGGAGACUUUCCAAAUUUCCUUGCCGGCAGAUUGUGGAUGGCAAUAAGAACCCAUGAAUGAGAUGCACUGCAUGGCAUGUGGAAGGCGGAUGAAAGUAGAAGCCCCCUCUGUCUUCCUGCAGCACAGGAAGCAGGUGACCUGAGCAGGUGGGGCUUUCAGCAGGUGACCUGUACAGGUGCGGCUUUCAGCAGGUGACCUGAGCAGGUGCGGCUUUCAGCAGGUGACCUGAGCAGGUGGGGCUUUCAGCAGGUGACCUGUACAGGUGCGGCUUUCAGCAGGUGACCUGAGCAGGUGCAGCUGUCAGCAGGUGACCUGAGCAGGUGCGGCUGUCAGCAGGUGACCUGAGCAGGUGCGGCUUUCAGCAGGUGACCUGAGCAGGUGCGGCUUUCAGCAGGUGACCUGAGCAGGUGUGGCUUUCAGCAGCAGCUAAACAAGCACUGGCCAAGAGAUAAGCAAUGUUGAAGGAACUGCAGCUUACCAAUCAUGAAACGUGGACUGACCGCCUGCUCCACCAGCCAUAACUAUAGCUUUGAUUGACAAGGGGCUGAUUUCAAUACCUGUCUCCUGUUGAGGUCACCGACCAUGGACUGGUUCUGGCUGGUUUACAGCAGCUGUGCACCGAGUGCCUGUGUCCCUACUUCACACUGUGACAUAUAAGGCUUAAUUGUCAUGCAUUUGAAUGUUAAGUCUCCACCUCAGAGUAAAUAUGGGUCAUAUGUAAUAUGCAUGUUUGUUCAAUGGGUCAGGACACCUUCAUGAAUAUUCAUCGCUCCUCCUAUAAUCUGUUGAAUAUGUAUGUUGAGCCAACCCCUUCAGCAUAAGUUCCUGUCUCACCUUUUCUCCUUUGAAAUGCCUGCUAAAGGUCCCUGCCAGAGGCUAUACUUCCCAGCCUGUCAGAAGGAGCACCUCGUAGGCUGUAACCCUCUGUAAGAAAUAAAGUUGGCUUUCAAAAUUUAUAGACCUUAUCAUUUUUAAGUUGAAAGGCAUGUGGCACAAGCACGGUUGGGGGAACUCAUAUGAGACAAAAUUCUGAG